rnacentral:rRNA from 1 species
GAUGAACGCUGGCGGCGUGCCUAAUACAUGCAAGUCGAGCGAACGGACGAGAAGCUUGCUUCUCUGAUGUUAGCGGCGGACGGGUGAGUAACACGUGGAUAACCUACCUAUAAGACUGGGAUAACUUCGGGAAACCGGAGCUAAUACCGGAUGAUCUUUUGAACCGCAUGGUUCAAAAGUGAAAGACGGUCUUGCUGUCACUUAUAGAUGGAUACGCGCUGCAUUAGCUAGUUGGUAAGGUAACGGCUUACCAAGGCAACGAGGCGUAAACGACCGGAGAGGGGGAUCGGCGACACUGGAACUGGGACACGGUCCAGACGACUACGGGAGGCAGCAGUAGGGAAUCUGACGCAAUGGUCGAAAGCCUGACGGAGCAACGCCGCGUGAGUGAUGAAGGUCUUCGGAUCGUGAAACUCUGUUAUUAGGGAAGAACAUAUGUGUAAGUAACUGUGCACAUCUUGACGGUACCUAAUCAGAAAGCCACGGCUAACUACGUG